rnacentral:rRNA from 1 species
UCUGGUGUCAGCCGCCGCGGUAAUACCAGCUCUCCGAGUGGUGUGGAUGUUUAUUGGGCCUAAAGCAUCCGUAGCUGGCCAAGUUAGUCCCCUGUUAAAUCCACCGAAUUAAUCGUUGGAGUGCGGGGGAUACUGCUCGGCUAGGGGACGAGAGAGGCCGACGGUAUUUUCGGGGUAGGGGUGAAAUCCUAUAAUCCCGGGAAGACCACCAGUGGCGAAGGCUGUCGGCUAGAACGCGCUCGACGGUGAGGGACGAAAGCUGGGGGAGCGAACCGGAUUAGAUACCCGGGUAGUCCCAGCUGUAAACGAUGCGGGCUAGGUGUUGGGGUGGCUACGAGCCACUUCAGUGCCGCAGGAAAGCCAUUAA